CCUACGGGAGGCUGCAGUGGGGAAUAUUGCACAAUGGGCGCAAGCCUGAUGCAGCCAUGCCGCGUGUGUGAAGAAGGCCUUCGGGUUGUAAAGCACUUUCAGCGGGGAGGAAGGCGUUAAGGUUAAUAACCUUGUCGAUUGACGUUACCCGCAGAAGAAGCACCGGCUAACUCCGUGCCAGCAGCCGCGGUAAUACGGAGGGUGCAAGCGUUAAUCGGAAUUACUGGGCGUAAAGCGCACGCAGGCGGUCGGUCAAGUCGGAUGUGAAAUCCCCGGGCUCAACCUGGGAACUGCAUUCGAAACUGGCAGGCUAGAGUCUUGUAGAGGGGGGUAGAAUUCCAGGUGUAGCGGUGAAAUGCGUAGAGAUCUGGAGGAAUACCGGUGGUGAAGGCGGCCCCCUGGACAAAGACUGACGCUCAGGUGCGAAAGCGUGGGGAGCAAACAGGAUUAGAACCCGUGUAGUC
rnacentral:rRNA from 1 species